GGCUCCUCCAUCUUGGGCUCUCCCCUAAAUCAACAGUAGGCAAUAUAUAGUCGACCUUUAUUAGUCUCAUUUCUGCUGUUAUCAAUCUCUUAAUUAAAGAAAAAAAAAAAAAAAAAAAAGAGAUUACUUGUGACAUUGGGUACUGUUAACAGAAAAUAACUUUUGCUUAAAUCCUUUGUUGAACAAGGAUCAAGUUAAUUGUAUGCUUAAAGAGAAAUAUCUGCCAAUGUGCUCUGUGCUCACCUUAUACUGGUGAUGAAUGCAGGUUCAAGCCCUUAGCAGCUUCUUCAGAUGCUGUCAGAAAAGGAAGGCAUGUUCCAGAAACAAAGUUCCUGUGUGGUUUUUGAAGACUUUGUUGUAAUAAGAUCUGUCACACUAAGAAAUUACACAAGCUCAUGGAAGAUGUUACUGAAAAUGUGUAGUCAAGAGAUGAUCUUCUCUGGGACACAUAAAAGUUGCCAAGUAGGUCUUUAUAACAGUAUUUAAGAUGUUUUUAUUUGUAAGCACAUUUGUGAAGAUGCUAAGUCAGGUUCACUUAGAGCAUUCACAAUUGCAUUAGAAGGUAAGCUUAGAUACUGGCAGCAAGGAAGAAUUUUUAUUGUACAAUAAA
ensembl:lncRNA